UGGCUCAGGAUGAACGCUAGCGGCAGGCUUAACACAUGCAAGUCGAGGGGCAGCGGAGAGUAGCAAUACUCUGCCGGCGACCGGCGAAAGGGUGCGUAACGCGUGAGCAACUUGCCCGUAUCCGGGACAUAAGCGGUGGAAACGCCGUCUAAUUUCCCAUAACAACGAGGGCCGCAUGACCCAUGUUUGAAAGAUCCGUCGGAUACGGAUGGGCUCGCGAGACAUUAGCUAGUCGGCGUGGUAACGGCACACCGAGGCGACGAUGUCUAGGGGUUCUGAGAGGAAGGUCCCCCACACUGGAACUGAGACACGGUCCAGACUCCUACGGGAGGCAGCAGUGAGGAAUAUUGGUCAAUGGGCGCAAGCCUGAACCAGCCAUGCCGCGUGAAGGAAUGAGGCCCCCUAUGGGUCGUAAACUUCUUUUGUGGUGGAGCAAUAAGGUGCACGUGUGCAUCGAUGAGAGUACAUCACGAAUAAGCAUCGGCUAACUCCGUGCCAGCCGCCGC
rnacentral:rRNA from 1 species